rnacentral:lncRNA from 1 species
CAGAGAAAAGAAGAGAGUGUCAAUAAUGGAGCUCUAGCAAUAUCGAGAGUGGGGGCCUUCUGCUCUAUCAGCAAAUUAAUGUGAAAAACAUUUGCUUGCACAGAAGUAGAAGGGGGGACCAUGCAAUUUGCUAAAAGAUAGUUCACAUUCAAUGGUGAAAACAAUGUCAAUAAAUUGCAUUUGCUUUGUCAUCUUCUUUCCUCAGGACACCAUAUUUCUUGAUAAUAGAGGAGUCCGUAGUUCGUAAAACUGAUGAGAGGUGGAGACUUUGAGACUAGAGACUCUCUCUCUCUUCUGUGUUUUCAGUUUUGGGGUCCCAUUCCCUUCAAUAAUUUGAACCUCAUAUCAUGCAUGCAUGCAGUCAAAAAUUAAAAAAAUAAAUAAAUAAUUCAAAGCAAUGUAUAGUAUAAUAUUAUUGGCAAAAUUUGUUGAGUGACUUGUUUUUUGGACACGCAAGGCUCAAAUUAAAAUGGAGAGGAUCUUUUGUUUUUAUGCCUGCCUUAAUAUACCAGCUGUGAUGUACUUACAAUAUAUCUCUAGCUUAUCCUAGGUGGGGGGGGCGUCUCUAUUCUGGUUUGAUGGAUUCAUAUGGAGAAAUCAUUUGCAGAAACUCACUAUAGCUUGGGUGAUGCUAUGAUGACAAAAUUAUUGGCGUAAAACAGCCCCCCACCAAGAGAGGAAUGUUAAACUUUGAAGUCAAGGAAUUAGUCGAUGCAGUAAAUUUUAGUUAUAUGCCAAGACAUGAUUGGAUUGCGUCAUAUAUGAGCCAUGAAGAGAAUAAGGGAAUCAAAGCAAAUAUUCAAAUUUAUUUUCUAAUUUAUAUGUGAUCUUAUCUUUAUUUAUAUUAAAGUUCAAUAUCAUGAAAAGAUCAAGAGUCCAAAUUAAAACAAAAAAAAAAAAACUUAUAAAUGUAUGCUUGAAGUCAUAUAGAAGAAGACAUCCAUUUACACGACAAAUAUAUUGAUAUUCACAGUAAGAAUAACCUUAUCAUCACUUUAAUUCAAAAGACUUUAAAAAAAAAAAUUGAAAAAUACCUCAAGGGGUGUAGAGAGAAGAACAAUAUAAUGUGUGCUGUUGUUGGUAGCUUGAUAGAGUGGGCUUCAGGCCUAGUGGUGGGCAGUGGCAGCCACGCAGCGCACGGAGCGACGCACACUCCGACCAAACACGAACAAACCUCCCCCUACUUUCCCACAGAUCCGAGAAACGCGUUGAUUAGUCGUGUGUUGUGUCCCCAAAACAUCAUCUUUCCACCCUCACACGCCCACCAUAGCGCGUGCAUCCACUCUCUGAGAGCCGCUAAAAAUGGGAAAUAAAUUUUUUUGGAAUGAUGCUGCCUAAUUUUAAUAGCACUUUGUCAGAUCUCUCUCUCUCUUUCUUUUUAACCAUGGCUGCUCUGCCUCUGCUGCUCUAAAGCGAAAAAAA